GGUAUGUGCUUUCGUCACCUUCAGAGGCCUUUCCGAACGUUAUCCACCUCUCUCAGGAUGUGCACCCCUAUGAGACGAGGACCUUGGCUUAUCGUUAGAAAAGGACGAGAUGUGCGGACGAAUUGUAAGAGAGGAAGGAGGGAAGAAGAGCACUCCCCUCCUACCUUGUUUCCUCCCUCCAAUUGGCAUCGAAGGGGAAGAGAGG